GAUGAACGCUGGCGGCGUGCCUAAUACAUGCAAGUCGAGCGAACAGACGAGGAGCUUGCUCCUCUGACGUUAGCGGCGGACGGGUGAGUAACACGUGGAUAACCUACCUAUAAGACUGGGAUAACUUCGGGAAACCGGAGCUAAUACCGGAUAAUAUAUUGAACCGCAUGGUUCAAUAGUGAAAGACGGUUUUGCUGUCACUUAUAGAUGGAUCCGCGCCGGAUUAGCUAGUUGGUAAGGUAACGGCUUACCAAGGCAACGAUGCGUAGCCGACCUGAGAGGGUGAUCGGCCACACUGGAACUGAGACACGGUCCAGACUCCUACGGGAGGCAGCAGUAGGGAAUCUUCCGCAAUGGGCGAAAGCCUGACGCAGCAACGCCGCGUGAGUGAUGAAGGUCUUCGGAUCGUAAAACUCUGUUAUUAGGGAAGAACAAAUGUGUAAGAAACUAUGCACGUCUUGACGGUACCUAAUCAGAAAGCCACGGCUAACUACGUG
rnacentral:rRNA from 1 species